rnacentral:rRNA from 1 species
CAGGUUUGGAUAACCGCGGAAGUUUCGAGCGAAGGUUCAAACUAGGGAAAAAUCUUUACGCAAUUUGAAGGCGGGCUGGACCUCUCGGGGUUCCCCCU